CGAAGGGUGCAAGCGUUACUCGGAAUUACUGGGCGUAAAGCGUGCGUAGGUGGUUCGUUAAGUCAGAUGUGAAAGCCCCGGGCUCAACCUGGGAAUUGCAUUUGAUACUGGCGAGCUAGAGUGCGGUAGAGGAGAGUGGAAUUCCCGGUGUAGCAGUGAAAUGCGUAGAGAUCGGGAGGAACAUCAGUUGCGAAGGCGGCUCUCUGGACCAGCACUGACACUGAGGCACGAAAGCGUGGGGAGCAAACAGGAUUAGAUACCCUGGUAGUCCACGCCCUAAACGAUGCGAACUGGACGUUGGGAGCAAUCAGGCUCUCAGUGUCGAAGCUAACGCGUUAAGUUCGCCGCCUGGGGAGUACGGUCGCAAGACUG
rnacentral:rRNA from 1 species